rnacentral:rRNA from 1 species
UACGGGGGGAGCAAGCGUUGUUCGGAUUUACUGGGCGUAAAGGGCGGGUAGGCGGCCACCGCAAGUCGACUGUGAAAUCUCCCGCUUAACUGGGAGGGUGCGCCGGAAACUGGGCCGCUGGAGUACGGGAGAGGCAAGCGGAAUUCCAGGUGUAGCGGUGAAAUGCGUAGAUAUCUGGAGGAACACCCGUGGUGCAGACGGCUUGCUGGACCGUGACUGACGCUGAGGAGCGAAAGCCAGGGGAGCAAACGGG